CUCAACAAUAGGUUAUUAGCCAUGCCUUGGAAAUUGAAACAAAUAAGCCAAAUCCCAACAGAAAACAACUCCUCAAUUUACAUAAAUCUGCCCACAACUCCACGUUGGAGGAUUUGGAAUCAACUUCAUAGAAAAUAGAGAGUUAGAGAGGGGAGAGUUUCAUCAAGAGUAGCUCACAGCAGCCGGGUGCGACCGUUCAACGACGAGCUUGGAGGCAGCGGCGACAGAGAGACACGAGCAGCAGCGGCGGUGCGACAUCGACUGCACCGUGACAGCAGCGGCGAGCGGACUGCGCAGCCCACGACGACGGUGGAGAAAGCAAGACAACGCUGUGCAAUUGAAACGGAAAAGAUGGAGAGUUCACGGUCGCGACGACGGCUGCACGGCGGACAGCGGCUAUCUCGAUCUGGAGCAGCAGCGGCUGGACUUCGGCAGUCACAGAGUGAAGAGGAGACGGCAGUGCUUGAUGCAGCAGCUCGCGUCGGCGGACAGCAGCUCGCGUGGCAAAAAACGGUGGCAGCGGCAAUGCCGAGUUUUGCCGGAGAGAAGAAGCGAGGGAGAAAAGAAAGUUGCUGCUCAAAUUUGGAGAUUUGUUCCUCUAAAUGUUAAGUUAGAAGAGAGGGAAACGGAAAGAGAGGUGGAAGAGAAGAAGAAGGAAAAUAAUUUGGAAACUUCAAAAUCCUUGGAUUUCACGUAAGUGAAGGAGAUGAUUGGAGUUAAUCUAGUUUUUGGGCCGGAGUACAUUAAAUCAAUAGGUGACUCUAUGCACGCUUUUCGAGAACGAAAUGGAACACAAGUUAAGGCUUUAAACGAACGAGCUAUUAGGCAUUUGUUCGCGAAGAAGGAUGCAAAGCCCUGACUCAUAAGAUGGAUUUUGUUACUACAAGAAUUUGAUGUGGAGAUUCGCGAUCGGAAGAGCUGUGAGAAUGUAGUGGCCGACCACUUGUCUCGAUUGGAGCAUCCGGUGGAUGGAGAAGAUCUAUCGCGAGAAAUCAACGAGGACUUCCCCGGCGAGCAUCUAAUCUUUACUCAAGCCACUUUUCCAUGGUACUCUGAUUUUGUCAAUUAUUUAGUAGCGAAGGUACAUCCUCCCGAUCUUACUCCUUACCAAAAGAAGAAAUUUCAUAGAGAUGUAAGGUCUUAUGUUUGGGAUGAUCCAUAUUUGUUAAAGAGAUGUGCAGAUAUUAUACUUAUAAGGUGUGUACCCAAGAAGAGUGGGGUGUCAUAGUGGAGAGAUGCCAUUCAUCACCAACAGGAGGAUAUUCGGUGUGCAAAGGACUGCCAUCAAAAUCCAUCAAAGUGGUUUUUAUUGGCCAACGAUUUAUCGUGACUCCUCCAGUUUUGUGCUCCAAUGCAAUGAAUGCCAACACACGAGGGGAAUAUCAAAGAAGAAGGAGAUGCCUAUGAACACCAUCAUUGAGGUAGAAUUGUUUGAUGUAUGAGGGAUAGACUUUAUGGGACCAUUCGCAAAAUCGGGGGAGUAUCAAUACAUUUUACUUGUUGAAUAUGUUUCUCAAUGGGUGGAAGCAAUUCCUACCAAAACUAAUGACUCUAAAGUUGUGACUUCUUUUGUGUAUAAAAAUAUUUUUAGUAGGUUUGGUACACCCCGUGCCCUCAUAAGUGAUGGAGGAUCUCACUUCAACAAUAUGUGGCUAGACAACGUGUUGGACAAGUAUGGAGUCAAGCAUAAGAUCACUUCUCGGUACCAUCCUCAAGCUAAUGGGCAGACAGAGCUUGCAAAUAGGGAGGUUAAGUCCAUCCUACAAAAGACGGUGAGAACAAAUAGAAAGGAUUGGGCACUACGUUUGGAUGAUGCAUUGUGGGCAUACCGCACCGCAUAUAAAUCUCUUAUAGGUAUGUCUCCUUACCAAUUAGUUUUUGGAAAAUCAUGUCAUUUGCCUUUUGAGUUGGAGCAUAGGUCCUAUUGGGCGGUAAAGAAGCUAAAUCAAGACUUCCAGAAGGCCGGAGAAGAAAGGCGCAUGUUCCUCAAUGAGAUGGACGAAUUUCGAAUGGAAGCAUAUGAUAGCUCUUCUACCUACAAGGAGCGGAUGAAAGCUUACCAUGACAAGAUGAUCAGGGCAAGGCGUGGCGACCGCCACCCAAGAGUAAGAAGCCUCGGAUCAAUGCAUGGCGACCGCUGACCAAGGUGCAACGGUCAACCACAAAAGAGCGGCGAACAGAUUUGCCCUAAUUUCUCUCCAAGAUUUACCAUAUUUUACAACCCUUUUCCUUAUUUGAGAAGAGGCGAUUUCUCCCCUAUAAAUAGCCCCUCAAGCUUCUUCAAAAUAAUCCUCUUUUUGCAAUAUAUUUUCCAGAGAUUUAUAGUGCUUCAUUGUGCAAGGAGUUGGAGAAGGAUUCAAGAACAUCAAAGCUACAAGGAUUCAACCUUUGAGUUUUAUUUUCUUUAGUUUUAUGUUCCAA